rnacentral:rRNA from 1 species
CCCUUAGAUGUUCUGGGCCGCACACGCGCUACACUGAAGGAGGCAGCGUGUACUCCUGGAUCGAAAGAUUUGGGUAACCCGCGAAUCACCUUCGUGCUAGGGAUUGAGGUUUGCAAUUAUCCUUCAUGAACGAGGAAUUCCCAGUAAGUGCAAGUCAUAAGCUUGCGCUGACUACGUCCCUGCCCUUUGUACACACCGCCCGUCGCUACUACCGAUUGAAUGAUUUAGUGAGGACUUCGGACUGGGACCGAUGCGGCUUUCGGGCUGCGUCGGUAUUCUGGAAAGAUGUCCAAACUGUAUCAUUUAGAGGAAGUAAAAGUCGUAACA